CCAGCACCUCAGGAGGCCCCUGGUAACAGCAUACGGUCCUCACUGGGCCUGUAGUAGAACUACAAGGAUGUGAGGGACUUUCUAUAUGCUUCUGUGAACAUCAGAGUUGAAGCAACUCCUACAAUGUGCAUGUCUUUCUUUUGCAAAGAGAUACGUGAACAAGCUUGACUGUGAACCCUUUAAUCUAUCUGGUGAACCCAGUCAUUUGAACCCAGUCAUCCCAGAACCCAGUCAUCAUUUUGUGCUGCUGAAACCCAAGAAGAUGCAUGACCAGUGACUUCUACCAUGCCUGAUGGCAGCCAGGGAUGUGCCUCCCAACCUCAGACACCAGCUCGCACAACAACAGAGUGCUGCAGUGAUAUGCGCCGGAGGCAGCGAUAGUCCCGAGAAACCUUGAUGGAAGCUUUGGUGGAGUCAGCCCAAGCCAAACUGUCAUGCAACAAGUCCUGGUGAAAUGAACGCUGCAUGUUCAUGCAGUCAGAGGAUGCCCUCUUGCAGCGAAUGGAAGACAAGGUGUUGAAGUUGGUAGACAUGGCCACAAAGUCAUAUGAUUUGAUGUUUGAAAUGGUGGAAUCCGUCAAAGCAGAUAUCAGCCGAAUUUCAGCUUUAAAAAGCGGGUACAGAAUGGCAAAAAUAGCUCCCCUCAGCUUGCCUCUGUCCAGGAGGUAGCCAGUACAGCUGAGCCUGCUCCCUGAAAUGCACGGGAGUCAAGGGAGGGUCAUAACACUGUCACCAGGGCCAGGCGGCCACCACUGUCAUUCAGGGAGCCAGGGCCAGUUCAGGGUGAUGGUGGGGUGAAGGCAAGGAAGACUGAGUAACCGAAUGCUGACAAUAUUGUGUUCAUUACAAUAAAAAAUCAUGUUAUCUA